rnacentral:rRNA from 1 species
UACGUAGGGUGCUAGCGUUGUCCGGAUUUAUUGGGCGUAAAGGGCUCGUAGGCGGUUUGUCGCGUCUGCCGUGAAAGUCCGGGGCUCAACUCCGGAUCUGCGGUGGGUACGGGCAGACUAGAGUGCAGUAGGGGAGACUGGAAUUCCUGGUGUAGCGGUGAAAUGCGCAGAUAUCAGGAGGAACACCGAUGGCGAAGGCAGGUCUCUGGGCUGUAACUGACGCUGAGGAGCGAAAGCAUGGGGAGCGAACAGG